rnacentral:rRNA from 1 species
GUAGCAUAAUCAUUAGGGGUUUAAUUGGAACCUGGUAUGAAGGGUUGGACAAAGGAAAGACUGUCUUUAUAUUAAUAAUUGAAGUUUACUUUUAAGUGAAAAGGCUUAAAUAAGUCAAAGGGACGAUAAGACCCUAUAAAGCUUUAUAAAUUACUUAAAUUUAAUUAAUUUAGACUAUAAAAAUAAAGUUUAAUUAUUUUAUUUUGUUGGGGUGACGUGAGUAUAAAUAUUGUUAACUGCUUAAUAAUAAUACAAUUAUUAGUGAUUUAAGUUUUAAAUGAUCCUUUUUAAAGAUUAAAAGAUUAAGUUACUUUAGGGGUAACAGCGUUAUUUCUUUUGAGAGUUCAUAUCGAAAAAGAAGAUUGCGACCUCGAUGUUGAAUUAAAAUAUCUGUGUAAUGUAGCCGUUACAUAAGAGGGUCUGUUCGACCUUUAAAUUUUU